GAUGAACGCUGGCGGCGUGCCUAAUACAUGCAAGUCGAGCGAACGGACGAGAAGCUUGCUUCUCUGAUGUUAGCGGCGGACGGGUGAGUAACACGUGGAUAACCUACCUAUAAGACUGGGAUAACUUCGGGAAACCGGAGCUAAUACCGGAUAAUAUUUUGAACCGCAUGGUUCAAAAGUAAAAGACGGUCUUGCUGUCACUUAUAGAUGGAUCCGCGCUGCAUUAGCUAGUUGGUAAGGUAACGGCUUACCAAGGCAACGAUGCAUAGCCGACCUGAGAGGGUGAUCGGCCACACUGGAACUGAGACACGGUCCAGACUCCUACGGGAGGCAGCAGUAGGGAAUCUUCCGCAAAGGGCGAAAGCCUGACGGAGCAACGCCGCGUGAGUGAUGAAGGUCUUCGGAUCGUAAAACUCUGUUAUUAGGGAAGAACAUAUGUGUAAGUAAUUGUGCACAUCUUGACGGUACCUAAUCAGAAAGCCACGGCUAACUACGUG
rnacentral:rRNA from 1 species